CCUACGGGAGGCAGCAGUGAGGAAUAUUGGUCAAUGGACGAGAGUCUGAACCAGCCAAGUAGCGUGAAGGAUGACUGCCCUAUGGGUUGUAAACUUCUUUUAUAUGGGAAUAAAAUGUUCCACGUGUGGGAUUUUGUAUGUACCAUAUGAAUAAGGAUCGGCUAACUCCGUUCCAGCAGCCGCGGUAAUACGGAGGAUCCGAGCGUUAUCCGGAUUUAUUGGGUUUAAAGGGAGCGUAGGUGGAUUGUUAAGUCAGUUGUGAAAGUUUUCGGCUCAACCGUAAAAUUGCAGUUGAAACUGGCAGUCUUGAGUACAGUAGAGGUGGGCGGAAUUCGUGGUGUAGCGGUGAAAUGCUCAGAUAUCACGAAGAACUCCGAUUGCGAAGGCAGUUCACUGGACUGCAACUGACACUGAGGCUCGAAAGUGUGGGUAUCAAACAGGAUUAGAUACCCCAGUAGUC
rnacentral:rRNA from 1 species